AAAGUCAAAUAAUUUUUUUGUCUAUAAAAACAAAGCUACAAACUGCCAGUUAUUCCUCAUCAACCCCAUUGCACGCCUUUGCUAUAUUUCCAAGCUUAAGGCCCUUAUUUUGUUAGACAAGAUUUCUUCAGAAUGGCUUUAACCCACAACUCAUUUCAAGUGAAGAUUAUGGUGGUUUUCUUAGCCAUCAUGCUUCUCAUGUUCUCAGCCGCAGCUGCUCUACCCAUACCCCUCUUAACCUCGGUGGUCGGAAGCUUCUUCAAUAUUAUAGCAUUUUCGACUCAUAUUCUAGUUCAAGUGGAGGGGGAGGCUACCCAUGCUGUAAGUGAGAUGUUGCAACUUUGAAAAUGAGUCGAGAAGAGAAGGAUAAAUGUCACUACUUUACAGAAAUGUGUUAUUUUGUUUUAAAUAAAGAGAACAUAUAUAUUGUUUGGAGUAACACAAUAAAUUGCAUAAGAAAGAGCAACUUGAUAUUUUAAUUUAACUUUUCUAGAACAAUAAUUUAUUUAUAUAAAUUUUGAUGCAUUGAUGA